CCUACGGGUGGCAGCAGUGAGGAAUAUUGGUCAAUGGUCGGGAGCCUGAACCAGCCAAGCCGCGUGAGGGAUGAAGGUACUGUGUAUCGUAAACCUCUUUUGUCAGGGAACAAAGGCUGGGACGUGUCCCCGUAUGAGUGUACCUGAAGAAAAAGCAUCGGCUAACUCCGUGCCAGCAGCCGCGGUAAUACGGAGGAUGCGAGCGUUAUCCGGAUUUAUUGGGUUUAAAGGGUGCGGCGGCGGUCUGUUAAGUCAGCGGGGAAAGGCUGGGGCUCAACCCCGGAAACGCCUUUGAAACUGGCAGUCUCGAGUUGGAGAGAGGUAGGCGGAAUGCGCGGUGUAGCGGUGAAAUGCGUAGAGAGCGCGCAGAACUCCGAUUGCGAAGGCAGCAUGCCGGCUCCAGACUGACGCUGAGGCACGAAAGCGUGGGGAUCGAACAGGAUUAGAUACCCGUGUAGUC
rnacentral:rRNA from 1 species